rnacentral:rRNA from 1 species
ACUACGGGGGGCAGCAGUGGGGAAUAUUGCACAAUGGGGGAAACCCUGAUGCAGCGACGCCGCGUGAGUGAAGAAGUAUUUCGGUAUGUAAAGCUCUAUCAGCAGGGAAGAAAUAGCGACCUUUGGGUCGCCAGACGGUACCUGAUUAAGAAGCACCGGCUAACUAGGUGCCAGCAGCCGCGGGAAUACGUAGGGGGCAAGCGUUAUCCGGAUUUACUGGGGGGAAAGGGAGCGUAGACGGCAGCGCAAGUCUGAAGGGAACUGCCGGGGCUUAACCCCGGAACUGCUUUGGAAACUGUGCAGCUAGAGUGCAGGAGAGGUAAGUGGAAUUCCUAGUGUAGCGGUGAAAUGCGUAGAUAUUAGGAGGAACACCAGUGGCGAAGGCGGCUUACUGGACUGUAACUGACGUUGAGGCUCGAAAGCGUGGGGAGCAAACAGGAUUAGAUACCCCAGUAGUC